GACAGAGGCCCCGAGCGUUAGGCGGAAUCACUGGGCUUAAAGCGUGUGUAGGCGGGAGCGUAAGUACCUUGUGAAAUCCCUCGCUUAACCGAGGAACUGCGCCCAAAACUACCGUGCUUGAGGGAGAUAGAGGUGAGCGGAACUUAGGGUGGAGCGGUGAAAUGCGUUGAUAUCCUAAGGAACACCGGUGGCGAAAGCGGCUCACUGGAUCUCUUCUGACGCUGAGGCACGAAAGCUAGGGUAGCGAACGGG
rnacentral:rRNA from 1 species